rnacentral:rRNA from 2 species
AAGGAGCUUGCUCUGAUUGAUAACAUUUGAUUGAGUGGCGGACGGGUGAGUAACACGUGGGUAACCUGCCCUAAAGUGGGGGAUAACAUUUGGAAACAGAUGCUAAUACCGCAUAAAACCUAGCACCGCAUGGUCAAGGUUGAAAGAUGGUUUACGGCUAUCACUUUAGGAUGGACCCGCGGUGCAUUAGUUAGUUGGUGAGGUAAAGGCUCACCAAGACCGUGAUGCAUAGCCGACCUGAGAGGGUAAUCGGCCACACUGGGACUGAGACACGGCCCAGACUCCUACGGGAGGCAGCAGUAGGGAAUCUUCCACAAUGGAGAAAGUCUAUGGAGCAACGCCGCGUGAUUGAAGAAGGUUUCGGAUCGUAAAACUCUGUUGUUGGAGAAGAACGUAUUUGAUAGUAACUGAUCAGGUAGUGACGGUAUCCAACCAGAAGCCACGGCUAACUACGUGAACGCAGCCGCGGUAAUACGUAGGUGGCAAGCGUUGUCCGGAUUUAUUGGGCGUAAAGCGAGCGCAGGCGGUUUCUUAAGUCUGAUGUGAAAGCCUUCGGCUCAACCGAAGAAGUGCAUCGGAAACUGGGAGGCUUGAGUGCGAGAAGAGGACAGUGGAAC